rnacentral:rRNA from 1 species
GAUGAACGCUAGCGGGAGGCCUAACACAUGCAAGCCGAGCGGUAUUGUUUCUUCGGAAAUGAGAGAGCGGCGUACGGGUGCGGAACACGUGUGCAACCUGCCUUUAUCUGGGGGAUAGCCUUUCGAAAGGAAGAUUAAUACUCCAUAAUAUAUUGAUUGGCAUCAAUUAAUAUUGAAAGCUCCGGCGGAUAGAGAUGGGCACGCGCAAGAUUAGCUAGUUGGUGAGGUAACGGCUCACCAAGGCGAUGAUCUUUAGGGGGCCUGAGAGGGUGAUCCCCCACACUGGUACUGAGACACGGACCAGACUCCUACGGGAGGCAGCAGUGAGGAAUAUUGGUCAAUGGGUGCAAGCCUGAGCCAGCCAUCCCGCGUGAAGGACGACUGCCCUAUGGGUUGUAAACUUCUUUUGUAUAGGGAUAAACCUACCCUCGUGAGGGUAGCUGAAGGUACUAUACGAAUAAGCACCGGCUAACUCCGUGCCAGCAGCCGCGGUAAUACGGAGGGUGCAAGCGUUAUCCGGAUUUAUUGGGUUUAAAGGGUCCGUAGGCGGACUUAUAAGUCAGUGGUGAAAGCCUGUCGCUUAACGAUAGAACUGCCAUUGAUACUGUAAGUCUUGAGUAUAUUUGAGGUAGCUGGAAUAAGUAGUGUAGCGGUGAAAUGCAUAGAUAUUACUUAGAACACCAAUUGCGAAGGCAGGUUACCAAGAUAUAACUGACGCUGAGGGACGAAAGCGUGGGGAGCGAACAGGAUUAGAUACCCUGGUAGUCCACGCCGUAAACGAUGCUAACUCGUUUUUGGGCUUUAGGGUUCAGAGACCAAGCGAAAGUGAUAAGUUAGCCACCUGGGGAGUACGCUCGCAAGAGUGAAGCUCAAAGGAAUUGACGGGGGCCCGCACAAGCGGUGGAUUAUGUGGUUUAAUUCGAUGAUACGCGAGGAACCUUACCAAGACUUAAAUGGGAAUUGACAGCUUUAGAAAUAGAGCUUUCUUCGGACAAUUUUCAAGGUGCUGCAUGGUUGUCGUCAGCUCGUGCCGUGAGGUGUUAGGUUAAGUCCUGCAACGAGCGCAACCCCUGUCACUAGUUGCCAUCAUUCAGUUGGGGACUCUAGUGAGACUGCCUACGCAAGUAGAGAGGAAGGUGGGGAUGACGUCAAAUCAUCACGGCCCUUACGUCUUGGGCCACACACGUAAUACAAUGGCCGGUACAGAGGGCAGCUACACAGCGAUGUGAUGCAAAUCUCGAAAGCCGGUCUCAGUUCGGAUUGGAGUCUGCAACUCGACUCUAUGAAGCUGGAAUCGCUAGUAAUCGCGCAUCAGCCAUGGCGCGGUGAAUACGUUCCCGGGCCU